GGCGAGAUGGCCGAGUGGUCUAAGGCGCCAGACUAAGGACUAGGGCAUUCAGAUGCUCAUUCUUUCCUCCUCUACGAGGAAUCUGGUCCUCCGGGGCGUGGGUUCGAAUCCCACUCUCGUCA